GGAAUUGAAAGUGAUGUGUUCAAGCCGGACUCUCCUUGGAUCGUGAAUAAAACACACGAAAACAUUUUUCUCGUCGGUUGAAAACGGAAAACAAUUUUGGCGACGAUCUCUUGGUUGCGAAAGUGGAUUUUGCAAACUACUUUUAGAGGACUGACGAUAGUGCGAAAUCAGAAAAUAAGAUAAUAAGAGAGAGAGAAAAAAAAAUAUUGAAUGAACAUUUUGAACUAUAGAUACAAGACGAUAUCUAAUCGUUGGA